rnacentral:lncRNA from 1 species
UCCAGCUGUUCUAACACCUCCUGCCUGCCAGUACUGACUCUUUAUGCAUGGGGGCUUCCGGCUUAUCUAUACUUCGAAGACAGUGAACUAGCGAGAGAGCCUGGCACCAAUCACGUGACUGCCGGGCUUCACAAGGAAGUAAAAACAAAAAGUGAAGAGAAAAACUAUUACUCAUACUCCUGUCUGAAGGUUAACCAGAUAUAGGACUCCUCUGUCUUGCUACGAUGGACAGCCACAAGGAUUCACUUGAAUAAAAGAAGCAACAGUGGGUGCCAGGCUGUUUGAAUUCUUAUUCGGGGUCCAGAGAGAUGGGUAAGAGCAUUUGUUGCUCUUGCAGCGGACCUGGGUUUGGUGUCUAACAUCCAUGUGGUGGCUCACAUCCAUCAGUAACUCCAUUCGAGGAGAUCCAAUACCCUCUACUGCCCUCCUCUAGUACCACACAGUGCUGUGGAUUGAAUGGCGGGCCUUGCACAGAAAUGUGCUGUUUUGUUAUACAUUUAUUACAAAGAAUCUCACAAAAAGAAAAUAUUUCAAAAAGAAUGCCAGGCUAAAGAACCUCCACCUGGAGAACUGGGGGAAGGCAGGGCAAUAAUAUCAACGUCAACAUACAGCACCCUCUGGCCAUACUUUAGCAGUUCCAGGAUGGCCAAGACGACAUCGUUGAUGUAACAGAAACCUGAGGCGUCAGACUUCUUUACAUGAUGCAGUCCCCCAGCCUGGCUCGCAGUGAUGUCCCUCUGAUGUGUAUCAAGUUUCACAGCACUUUCCAAAGAGCCACCAAUAGACAACUGACAACUCAGACAGGCCAUCGAUUACCGGGAAGUCCUCACCAACGCGGAAUCUCUGCAUCUGCUUGCUGUAUUUAGACACAUUAUCUGGGCGAAUAGAGCACAAGAGUUUAAUGUAGUCAUCACUGUGGGACUUGGUCAUCUCCUCAGCGUUGGCUCUGUGAGGACGAUAGAUUUCCAUUUUUUGGUAGAGAUGUAGUUGAGCUGCAAAUCACGAGUCAUGUGGAUUCGGUGAGGCUUCAUUGGGUGGCCCUGUCCAUAAGAUAGUUUCCAACAUCCCUGUUAACAGACGUUCCUCUUGCCCUGAGUCUGUGCCAUCUUUCUCACCACCCAGUGCUCCUGCCAGUCUGAUGUUUUAAUAUUUUUAGAUGGUGAUGCUUUGAGUUUAAAUGGCCUUUGACAAAUUCUAUCCUAAUUUCUAAUUAAGACAAGGAAAGAAAACAAAGAUGGAUAAGGACCAUAAAGUAAUGAAUGGACUGGAAACAGAAGUAAACUUAUUCAACAAUAAAA